AUGAACGCUAGCGGCACGGCUUAACACAUGCAAGUCGAGGGGCAGCACUAAUGGAUAGCAAUAUCUAUGGUGGCGACCGGCGCACGGGUGCGUAACGCGUAUGCAACCUACCUUUAACAGGGGGAUAACACUGAGAAAUUGGUACUAAUACCCCAUAAUAUCAUAGAAGGGCAUCUUUUAUGGUUGAAAAUUCCGAUGGUUAGAGAUGGGCAUGCGUUGUAUUAGCUAGUUGGUGGGGUAACGGCUCACCAAGGCGACGAUACAUAGGGGGACUGAGAGGUUUAACCCCCCCANACUGGUACUGAGACACGGACCAGACUCCUACGGGAGGCAGCAGUGAGGAAUAUUGGUCAAUGGACGCAAGUCUGAACCAGCCAUGCCGCGUGCAGGAUGACGGCUCUAUGAGUUGUAAACUGCUUUUGUACUAGGGUAAACUCACCUACGUGUAGGUGACUGAAAGUAUAGUACGAAUAAGGAUCGGCUAACUCCGUG
rnacentral:rRNA from 1 species